rnacentral:rRNA from 1 species
GACGAACGCUGGCGGCGUGCUUAACACAUGCAAGUCGAACGGGCUCUGUCUGGCUGUGUGCUGGGUGGGGUUUGUGGCGAAAGGGUGAGUAAUACGUGAGUAACCUGCCCUCUUCUUUGGGAUAAGCCUUGGAAACGGGGUCUAUUACUGGAUAUUCCUGUCUGGUCGCAUGGCUGGGGGGGGAAAGUUUUUUUCGGUGGGGGAUGGGCUGGCGGCCUACCAGCGUGUUGGUGGGGUGAUGGCCUACCGAGGCGGCGACGGGUGGCCGGCCGGAGAGGGGGCCCGGCCACACUGAUACUGAGACGCGGCCGAGACUCAUGCGGGGGACAGGAGGGGGGGAUAGUGCACAGGGGGCGCGAGCGUGAUGCAGCGGCGGCGCGUGGGGGGUGGCGGCUUUCGUGGUGUACCCCUCUUUCGUGGGGGGAAAAGGCUCUGCUUGUUGGUGGGGUUGAAGGUACCCGGUGAAGAAGCGCCGGCUAACUACGUG